ACGCUGCGGCAGCUAACACAUGCAGUCGAGCGCGCCUUCGGGUGAGCGGCGGACGGGUUAUAACGCGUGGGAACGUGCCCUUUUCUACGGAAUAGCCUCUGGAAACGGAGAGUAAUACCGUAUACGCCCUUUGGGGGAAAGAUUUAUCGGAGAAGGAUCGGCCCGCGUUAGAUUAGGUAGUUGGUGGGGUAAUGGCCUACCAAGCCUACGAUCUAUAGCUGGUUUUAGAGGAUGAUCAGCAACACUGGGACUGAGACACGGCCCAGACUCCUACGGGAGGCAGCAGUGGGGAAUCUUCGACAAUGGUGGCAAACCUGAUACUAACCAAUGCCGCGUGAGUGAUGAAAGACUUAAGGUCGUAAAGAUCUUUCGACUGUGAUCGAUUAUGAACAGUAGCAGGUAACAGAAAACCCGGCUAACUCCGUGCCAAACAGACCGCAGUAAUACCGCAGGGGUUAGCGUUGUUCGGACAAUACUGGGCGUAAAGCGCGGCGUAGGCGGCUUAGAAAGUAGGGGGUGAAAAUCACCGGGCUCAACCCCGAAGUGACUCCCAAAAUGGUUCGUUCUAGAGGUCCGAGAAAAGGGAAGUUGGAUUCCGAAGUGUCAAGGUGAAAUCGCAAUAUCGGAGGAACACAGUGCGAAGCGGUCAUGGUUCAUCAUGACCUAGGGCAACUUGGGAGCAACAGGAUGAUACC
rnacentral:rRNA from 1 species